CACACUAGCCCAGAAUCUUUGUUCAUACAAGCAGUAGUGGGAGGCCAGCCCAAAUUAGGGUGUGUUCUUUGGACGCCAAGGUCAAAUCCAGAGGUAAAACAUUACUUCUCCAAAGGCUGCAGGAGAUCAAGCAAAGAGAGAUGAUUUGAAAGGCAAACCUUAGGAGAGACUGAUCAAAAGUUUGCUGAUGGCCUCUCUGGUGGCUCAGUGCUAGAGAAUCUGCCUGCCAGUGCAGGGCACACAGCUUCAAUCCCUCUUCCGGGAAGAUCCCCCAUGCCUCGGAGCAGCUAAAGCCCUGAGCCACGGCUCCUGACGCCUGUGCGCUAGAGUCCAGGAGCCGCAGCUGCUGAGCCCGGGUGCUGAACGACGGAGGCCCAAGCACCCUCCGGCCCGCGAUGGAAGCCAGUGCGUCACAGCUGGAGAGCAGACGCCCUCAGAGCCACGUGAGAGAGCUGGGCAGCAGCAGAGACCCAGCACAGCCGGAAAAUAAAAGUGAAUGAAUAAAUUUAUACUAAAAAACUUUGCCUGAGCGCCUUCCACCCAAAGAAGCAAGACAGAAAAGUAUCCUGCCGACGAGGUACCGGGGAUGGGAACCAGAUGGUCUGGAAGCAGGGCGUUUGGGGACCACUGGGGAUGCUGGUUCUGAGACAAAGGGAACCAUCCCUGCAGAGAGCACCACCUCCUGGCUCAGAGAAACUUUAUACCUUCUAUAUUUCUGGCCACUUUACAGAGACCAAUACUAUCGACACAGUUGACAGGAGCAACGAUUGUGGCCUUUCCUGUCUGGUUCAGUCUGAAGGUCGGGGGAAAGUGCUCAACAUUUCCAUUUUAUGCAUGUUAUUGGCGGCAGGCUUUUGAAUUUUCUCUUUACCAGAUUAAGGAAAUAUUCUUCUGGGUCUAGUUUGCUAAGUUCUUUUAAAUUUUUAUUAUAAGUGAAUAUGAAAUUUUAUCAAAUACGUUUUCUGACUUUAUUGAGAUGAUUAUGUGUGUCCCUCAUUCUGUUAAUGUGGUGAAUUGCAUUGACUGAUUUUUGAAUGUUAAAUCAAUCUUGCCUUCCUGGAAUAAACCAUACUUGCUGGGUUUGAUUUGUUACUCUUCAGUUUUGAAUUUUUACAUCUUAGUCUGACAGAAAUUGGCCUAUAAUUUUACUUUCUUGUUAUAUCUUUGACAAAUCAUGGUAUCAGGGCCUUGUAAAACAAGUUGGAAUGUAUUCCCGUGUUACCUGUUUUCUAAAAGAGUUUGUAUAAGAGAGAUAUGGGGGAAUUUACAAGCAGUCUUGCUUGGACUAGACUUCUCUUUGUGGAAAGGUUUUUAAUUAUGGAUUCAGUUACUUUUACAGAUCUAGAGGGCCUUUUCUAUUUUUUGAUGACAAUUUUAGUAAGUUGUGCUUUUCAAGAGAUUUUCCCAUUUCAUCUAUGUAGCAAAUGUAUUGGCAUAAAAUUGUUUAUAAUAUCCUGGUCUUUUUAAUACAUAUUGAAUCUUGA